rnacentral:lncRNA from 1 species
AACCAAGACUGUCCUUUUCUUAGUGAGAGACAUAGCUGUUAGACUUUAGAAGCAUAGUCUCCUGCAUACCUUUUUUUUUUUUUUUUUUUUUCCUGUAUCAGUGAGACAUAUUUUACAGGAAAACACAGCAGUGAUUCAACUGAAAAGCUGAAGAAUGCCUUUUCUGCAGUCUGGUAGCUAGAUCAUUCUCAUGGGUGGUGGCAGAUGUAAAAGAGGACUUGUGUCUCCCACACGGGUCAAAAUCUACUUUUAAUUACAAUUUUCCGGUAACCUGCACUGCUGCUUGCCUAUAUCCCUCAGCUGAGCACUGUUGUGCUGCACAACAACAAUUUUCCCUUUUUCUUUUACCUAAGUUGGUGAACUAAUAUGUUGUGAAGGCUGAGAUUGAGCCACUGUUGCAAAUUGAGCUUUUGGAAGAGAGCAGCGGUGACAAUAUUCAUAUAAAUUAACUCCAUUAAAAAAGGGAACCUUUUUUGUGGAGGUUCACUGAUUGUUGCCAAAGUCAUACAGCUGGCCCUCUGCAUCCUUCUAGAAAAGCCUUAGCAAUAGCUAAGCAUCAUUUCUGACAGACCAGCGAGGUUUGGG